rnacentral:rRNA from 1 species
AUGAAGGAAGUGGUUGAGGAGAUUGGAUCUGAGAAUGUGGUCCAAGUGAUCACAGACAAUGCAUCUAAUGUGAGAGGUGCUGGGUUGAUGAUUCAAGCAAAAUACAAGAAUAUUUACUGGACUCCUUGCAUUGUGCACUGCCUCAAUCUUGUCUUGAAGGAAAUUUGUGACCCAAAGAAAGAUGAUAUUGAUGAAUAUGAAGUUCUUCUCUUUAUAAAAGAGGUUUCUGACCUAGCUGCCUUUGUCAAGAACUUCAUCAUGAACCAUGGCAUGAGGUUGUCUAUGUUGAAUGAGUUUAGCAAACUCAAGUUCCUCCAAAUUGCGGAAACCAGAUUUGCAAGUGUUGUCAUCAUGUUGAAGAGGUUUCUUUUAAUCAAGGACGCACUCACACAAAUGGUUGUUCAUGCAAAUUGGACUACUUAUAAAGAGGAUGAUCCUAUUACAGCUCAAAGGGUGAAGGAACUCAUUUUGAGUGAUGUGUGGUGGGAUAAAAUUGCAUACAUUGUCUCUUUCACCUCACCCAUAUAUGCAAUGAUAAGGUUGACCGACACGGACAAACCAUCUCUCCAUUUGAUAUAUGAGAUGUGGGACGACAUGAUAGAGAAGGUGAAAGUUCCCAUUUAUCGUUAUGAAAAGAAGGAACUUCAUGAAGAUUGUGCUCUCUAUAUCAUAAUCAAGAAAAAAACUUCUUAA